GACAGAGGAGCCAAGCGUUGUCCGGAUUGACUGGGCGUAAAGCGCACGCAGGCGGAUGCGCGCGUGGGGUGUGAAAUCUGGCCGCUUAACGGCCAGGCGCCAUCCCAUACGGCGCGUCUGGAGUGAUGCAGAGGUCGAUGGAAUUGCCGGUGUAGUGGUGAAAUGCGUAGAGAUCGGCAGGAACACCCAGGGGGAAACCAGUCGACUGGG
rnacentral:rRNA from 1 species